CGUUAGAGAAAAUAAAACUUUGGGUGCUUUUAGAGAUUUUUUGGCAAAGACAGGAAAUUUGUCAAUUGGUGUUGACACAAACAAGUUCUAAAAGGCAAUUCUGAAGAAAAAAAUAACCACUCCAUAAAAACCGCGUAGAAACCAAGAGCAACAUAGAAAAAUGAAAGGACAAUGGGAAAAGAAUAUAGAAGAUCAAAAUACCCUUUGACUUCACGAUUUAACAAAAUAAAAAUUAACGUAAGGUUAGGUACUUGUUCAAUAGGGAUGGAAUAUUUUAAAAUAAGAUUGAUUGGUUUUAAACUCUGGCUUGUUCUCGAAUUUCGGAACAAGAUAAAACAUCCGUCACGGAACCUCAUCCGCAUCAGUUCCGAUAUUGAUUUGCUGAGAGUCUUAUAUUUGCCAAUCCGCAGUUACAACCGCAAGAGAUCUGCCAAACACGCCCGUUCUUGAGCUAGAAAUGUGGAAAAAAUGGCCCAGAUUGCAAAUACCAGAUUAGCCAAGAGAAAUGUGGCGCAUAUCGCGAUGAUCCGCUCAGUGAAAAAACACCUUUGCUUACGUUUCUUGACGUCAUUCCAACUGAGCCACCAAUUGGUUGUUCCAAGUUCCAGCACGUUUCUCUUUCCUCCUUCCCGCCUAGAUCCCCCUUGGAUAAUAUUAUAAACGGACCACACCAAGCAUCUACCUCUUCGUUCCCUGAUUGCAAAAAGGUACCUUCAAUUACAUCGUUCAUAUUUCAAGACUGAGAGGGAUCACUUUGGACUCACAACAGGAUGCAAAUUCGUAACACCACUUUAUUCGAUGAAUUCAAGACCAUCAAUCAGCUGUGAAAUGAAAUUUGAAACACCACAACCAUCAUUGUGCCUUUCGAAUGUGGCCUCAGGGAUGGACUAGAUGAAGAAGAGCUCCUCGGAAUUCCCCAAGUUCGAGCAAAGUUUGCCUUCGCUUCCUCUUAUUUCGAGCUUCACUUAGCACCAGAAACUAGUCCACAGGCAGGAUAAAGUACUCGUUUACU